AAAAAGUCCAUAAUGUUGAAGUGAAAAAUAGACAUUGUUUUAAAUUAUUAAAAAAAUAAAACAGAAAAUAUUUGAUUGCCGGAGUAUUUAACCCAUUUAGUCAAUAUUUCGUACUGAAGAGGCACCUUUGGUAGCCAUGAGUCUACUUAAAAGGAACCCUGACUAUUAAGAUACAUAAGCCAAUAUGCUACAAUUGCUCUCUCCAGAAAAACAUAGUUAGAAAUACAUAUUAGCAUAUUAGGUUGAGGUAGCUAAGUAUGUGUGCCAUUGGUCCAGUUUAUGUUCUUUACCUUAUAUGUGUAAAUGCAGCAUCUUGCCCUUCGUGGUUUCUGUCUUGAAUUCCCCCUGCCCGGACUGUGUGUAUGUGUUGUUAAUUCUGUCCCCCUCUGUUUCCUGUUAGUCUGACACACAAGCUCAGUCUGCUCUCCUUACCCAGGAACAGCCUAAAUAAGAUUUCCUGUUUUCUACUUGCAACUUUCAGUUUCAGCUUAUAUAAGAUAGCAAAAAAUAUAAGCACGGCUUCUUUUUCCAGCCCUAAGCUGUCGUCUAUAGGUGCGUCCUGCUGGCGGGGAUGAAACGUUUGCCGCCGAAUACGUCACUCCCAUUUCUUGCGAGAUGCCGCCCGCGAACAGCCGGCGGUCUGACUGCUUCAUUUUCUUUGGCGGUUGCCUCGGUCUGAUGGACCGCGGUCGUCCGGCGGCAAGACGCUUUUAAAUACAAGGCUACUCUCAAAAUCAACCGGCCAUGUUUGUUUGGACACAUUCGCAUCAGUUCGUCGCUCAAUCGCGAGUUACUACAGCCUGCAGUUUGCUAGCUAGCAAAGUCAUCGACUACCAUCGUUUAAGUAAGUACAUGCUUCCUUUUUGUGUAACGCAAUAUUAUGUUUACAUUGUUUUUAGUUUAUAUAUUUAAAAUGUGUAGUCAUCUUUGUUCUUGCCUAACUAGCUAAAGUAGCCUUGUUUACGCAAUGUUGUUAGUACAUGUAGAAUUUUAACGAACUAUAAUAGGUAGCAAAAGCUUUACAUCUAGAAAGACUAAGUUUAACUUUUAGUGUUUUCUUACAAAAAUAACGAUGUAUAUAUGUUGUUUAAAUUAUUUUGUUUGCCUGAACAAGUAUGCUGCUAGUCCAGUAGCUAGAGUGGCUAGUAAGUGUUAGCUAGCACAUGUUGUUUUGCCUUUGUUACAGUACACACUGUGGCUAGCAAGUUUUGUGCUGUGUUGCUACUGUACUGGAUUUAAGGCGAUUAUGAUUUCUAAUUCUUUUUAUACUUUUUAUGUUUGAGGACAAUUUUGUGUUCACUUGAAUCACAACACUCGGUGAAUACAUUUGUUUUAACAAUUUCACUGUUCCACAUUUGGCUGAAAAUGUUUCCCCCCCACAGCAUAGCUACUGUAUAUUCCUAACGUUAACAAUCCGGUUUUGUUCACGUUUUCUUGCAGAUACCUUGGCCAGAGCAUAACCGGUUAUCUUCACCCAAGAGACCUACUGUUGGUCAAUCGUUUUGGCUUUAAAGAACCAGGUUUCUCCCCAGUAAUCCAGACUCCACUUCACAGAGCCAAGAGUUUGAGUACAACUCGUCAAGUACUAAGCUUUACACCACCAGCAGCAAAUUUACCCUGGCAGCAUAUGGGCGAAAACGCUGGAGGAGAAAGUCAUCGCUUUGUUAUUGGCCCUUGGACGCCCCUGGCAUCUCGUGUACAGCACAAAGUUUUCAGCUAUGAAGAUUUCCAGUGACUCCAGAAUGAAAACCAAGCUCUGAGGGAGAAGAACCAAGCCCUGAGGGAAUGCAAUGCACAAGCAGCUUCGGAUGACAGCGGCUCACUUCAAGAGCAGGUGAAGCAAGUAGGGACUAUGUUGAAGACGUUUGCUCUCACUGGGCAAUCAGGUGCGUUACCUGAAAGGAGCAUCUGACCGUGAAGGCAGAAAAAGCCACACAGCUGAGAAGGACCCACAGCCGACCCCUUAAACCUAGGCUGACUACUGACACCCCAGCAUCACUGAACUGGAACACUUUCUUUAUCCUGCAGUCAGUAACCUCAAGAAGCCAGAAGUGCCAGACUACCAAAUCCACCCUUUGUAUUUUAACUUUAGUAUUGGCUUAUUUCAUUCCGUCUUAACAAUUCUAUUAUAGUUUGUAAAUCCUAUUUUCAUACCUGUUACUUGAUAUUGCACAUUAACUAGUACCAAAAUUCGACUUUCAUUUCAUCACUGUGCUUAACUGUUAUUCUAUUAAUAAUAGCUUGGAAAUACUAUUUCGUACCUCUGAUACUUGAUAUUGCACAUUACCUGGUACCAAAUAUUCUACUUACUGUUUUUAACAUCAGCAUUUUUCAUUCCAUCACAGUGCUUAACUGUUAUUCUAUUGUUAAAUAUAGCUUGUAAAUCCUUGUGCCACAGGUCAGCAUUGCAGUUAUAAUGGUCUGUUCUACUACUGUUUUUACCUCCGUAUUUUAAUAUAAAUAUAUAUGUCAAGUUUUGUUUAUCACAGAUACAAGAGACACAGAUCUUUUUGCAGCACGGUGUAAAUCUUGUGCUCCAGGUCAGCAAUGCCAUUAUAGCGGUCUAUUCUACUCUAGAGCUUUACUCUAAAUUAUUACCACUUUUCCUAUUGUUAGAAAUGGCUUGAAAAUGUGAUGUUAUACCUCGAUUUAUUUGAUAUCCUGCACAUUCUUUGGUACCAAAUAUCCUCAUUACUUAUGUUUACUGGUAAUUAUUUUCACCCCAGAGCUGACCUCUUUAUAUUAUUAACAAUUAUUGUGUUUGUGUUAUAAUUUGCUUGUAUGGCUGUUUUUAUUUUAACCAAAAUUUAAUUGGAAACCUGCAUGUUCUGUAGUGUGUAUUAAUAUGUAUAUUUUUUUCUGCCUGUUCUUUAUUUCAGUGAUCUGACACAUCUUGUUUGAAUGACAGUUACUGUACUUUGAAAUGUGGAAUUAAAACACCAAAUGGAAA
ensembl:lncRNA